rnacentral:rRNA from 1 species
CAGUAGCCGCGGGAAAACGUAGGUGGCAAGCGUUGUCCGGAAUUAUUGGGCGUAAAGGGCUCGCAGGCGGUUUCUUAAGUCUGAUGUGAAAGCCCCCGGCUCAACCGGGGAGGGUCAUUGGAAACUGGGAAACUUGAGUGCAGAAGAGGAAAGUGGAAUUCCAUGUGUAGCGGUGAAAUGCGCAGAGAUAUGGAGGAACACCAGUGGCGAAGGCGACUUUCUGGUCUGUAACUGACGCUGAUGUGCGAAAGCGUGGGGAUCAAACAGGAUUAGAUACCCCAGUAGUCCCUGUCUCUUAUAC